AUACGGAGGAUGCGAGCGUUAUCCGGAUUUAUUGGGUUUAAAGGGAGCGUAGGUGGGAUAUUAAGUCAGCUGUGAAAGUUUGGGGCUCAACCUUAAAAUUGCAGUUGAUACUGGUUUCCUUGAGUACGGUACAGGUGGGCGGAAUUCGUGGUGUAGCGGUGAAAUGCUUAGAUAUCACGAAGAACUCCGAUCGCGAAGGCAGCUCACCGGGCCGGAACUGACACUGAUGCUCGAAAGUGCGGGUAUCAAACAGGAUUAGAUACCCUGGUAGUCCGCACAGUAAACGAUGAAUACUCGCUGUUUGCGAUACACGGUAAGCGGCCAAGCGAAAGCAUUAAGUAUUCCACCUGGGGAGUACGCCGGCAACGGUGAAACUCAAAUGAAUUGACGGGG
rnacentral:rRNA from 1 species